GUGCUCGCUUCGGCAGCACAUAUACUAAAAUUGGAAUGAUACAGAGAAGAUUAGUAUGGCCCCUGUGCAAGGAUGACACGCAAAUUCAUGAAGUGUUCCAUAUUUUU
rnacentral:snRNA from 1 species